GGGACCGACCGCCGUCCUCGCCAUCGAAGGAAGGCCUAGUUAACAGCCUCUUAUCAGCAGCUGAGUGACGGGGCUUGACCCUUGCCGUAGCGUUGUUGCCACCAGGCAGAUCAUUCAGUUCCCUGGCGCAGGCUGCAUCUUACAGACCCGGCAGAGUAAUUGGAGAGCAGGCUGCGUCACUAACGAGGUGAAGGCAGUCUGGCAGCUUGUCGGAUCCGUCCACUGCGAGAGGUCGACGAUUCGAAACCCUUCUGCCUGUUUGUUAGACACCUACUCAUCACUCGAUGGAGCCUGACCUGUUCCUACAACAUAUGGAUUCGUUUUCAAGGCCUCGUCAUUUCAUGCACUCAAUAUUGAUCGCUUAUUUAUUUAUUAUUAUUAUUAUGAUUUGCUUUUCUUUAUUGUAUUUGCACAGUUCAUUGUCAUUUACAGAUUGGUUGUUAAUCGGUAUUGUGUGUGCUUUUUCAUUGUUUCUAUUGUGUUUUACUGUGAAAGCCCAUAAGAAAAUGAGUUUCAGGGCAGUAUAUCAUGACAUAUAUGGAUUUUGAGAAUAAAUUUACUUUGAGAUUUGAAAUUUA